GGCUCAGGAUGAACGCUAGCUACAGGCUUAACACAUGCAAGUCGAGGGGCAGCGGGAUUGAAGCUUGCUUCAAUUGCCGGCGACCGGCGCACGGGUGAGUAACGCGUAUCCAACCUUCCGUACACUCAGGGAUAGCCUUUCGAAAGAAAGAUUAAUACCUGAUGGUAUGAUGAGAUUGCAUGAUAGCAUCAUUAAAGAUUUAUCGGUGUACGAUGGGGAUGUGUUCCAUUAGGUAGUAGGCGGGGUAACGGCCCACCUAGCCAACGAUGGAUAGGGGUUCUGAGAGGAAGGUCCCCCACAUUGGAACUGAGACACGGUCCAAACUCCUACGGGAGGCAGCAGUGAGGAAUAUUGGUCAAUGGACGAGAGUCUGAACCAGCCAAGUAGCGUGAAGGAUGAAGGUCCUACGGAUUGUAAACUUCUUUUAUAAGGGAAUAAACCCUCCCACGUGUGGGAGCUUGUAUGUACCUUAUGAAUAAGCAUCGGCUAACUCCGUG
rnacentral:rRNA from 1 species